rnacentral:rRNA from 1 species
GACGGGGGGGACGAGUGUUGCUCAACAUGACUGGGCGUAAAGGGCAAGUAGCCGGUUUUUGAAGUAUUGGGUUAAAUGUCGAAGCUCAACUUCGAAGUUGCCUUAUAUACUCGAAGGCUUGAGUUUAGUAGAGGCUAGUGGUACUUUUGGUGUAGAGGUAAAAUUCGGUGAUAUCAAGGGGACCAACAACAAGCGAAGGCGGCUAGCUGGUCUAAAACUGACGUUGAGAGGCAAAAGCGUGGGGAUCAAACAGG